rnacentral:rRNA from 1 species
UACGUAGGGGGCAAGCGUUGUCCGGAAUCAUUGGGCGUAAAGCGCGUGUAGGCGGCCAGGUAAGUCCGUUCUGAAAGCCCGGGGCUCAACCCCGGGAGGCGGAUGGAUACUGCUUGGCUCGAGUCCGGAAGAGGCGAGUGGAAUUCCCGGUGUAGCGGUGAAAUGCGCAGAUAUCGGGAGGAACACCAAUGGCGAAGGCAGCCAUCUGGCCUAACACUGACGCUGAGGUGCGAAAGCAUGGGGAGCAAACAGGG